rnacentral:rRNA from 1 species
GCGCACCAGGCGAAAAUUUUUCUCAAUGGGGGAAACCCUGAAGGAGCGACGCCGCGUGGAGGAUGAAGGCCUUCGGGUUGUAAACUCCUGUCAUUUGAGAACAAGCGCCGGCAAGUAACUACUGCCGGCUUGAUAGUAUCAGAGGAGGAAGGGACGGCUAACUCUGUGCCAGCAGCCGCGGUAAUACAGAGGUCCCAAGCGUUGUUCGGAUUCAUUGGGCGUAAAGGGUGCGUAGGUGGCGCCGUAAGUCAGGUGUGAAAUUUCGGAGCUUAACUCCGAAACUGCAUUUGAUACUGCGGUGCUUGAGGACUGGAGAGGAGACUGGAAUUUACGGUGUAGCAGUGAAAUGCGUAGAGAUCGUAAGGAAGACCAGUGGCGAAGGCGGGUCUCUGGGACAGUUCCUGACACUGAGGCACGAAGGCCAGGGGAGCAAACGGGAUUAGAUACCCGUGUAGU